UAGUUCAUCUCUUCCUCCUCCCCUUUUCGUCGCCAUGGCCGUCAGCUGAAGCUAGAUGUUCCUUGUUCUCUAGUUCGCCUCCUACCCUUUUUUUGGCGGGGAGUUCGUCUCUUAUCCUGUUCGUCGCCACGGCCGCCACAGCUCCCUAGUUCCUCUCAAGCCCCGAUCAAUCAUUCUUGACCUAGAAGCGCCCUGAAAAAGGACCUCUCCAUGGCUCAACGGAGCAGCGCAAUCUCAUCUUGGAGUUCCUGUUCGAUGUACACCCAGAUGUACGUGGACUAGAGGAAGGGGAGCUGCCAUCGACCCCCUCCCGGUCUCAAUCAGAAAACAUUUUUAUGAGAGGGCUCUGUAGAAAACAUUACUUCUCAGGGGAGACAAGUACUAGGUGUUCCCCAUUGAUUUUGGCUACAAACUGCAAAGGCAUCUAGGCAAGGAAUCCAGGCUAGUGACCAUCAAGGACGCAACGACGCGUUGGAGGGGGGCGAGAAGGUUUAACAGUUUCACCAAGUCAUUCCUCGUACAUCGUACAUGAUCCAAAUAGACCAAAACUGAAGCCUGCUCAGAGGAUCAAUUAGUUCCAGGAAAAGUAUACGCAGAAUCGUACCAGGGGCCCAAAUGGUGUACAUUAUACUCUUGGUAGGCAUGUGCUGAUGCUCUGAGAAGAUAGAAUUCAGUUUAGUUCAGAUUGAGAAUUAGUAUGUGUAAAAAAAUCAUCUUCCCUUGCUGGUCUUGUUGUCCCAGUUUAGUUGAGAAGAGAUAAGAAUUCAGAGAAAGCAUUUUGUUUAGGGAAUGUACUUCUGAGUCUACAAACUGCUGCAUAUGCACAAAUAUAUGUAAUCUAAAUGCAAUAUUUUCUUGUGACAUGAAUGAA